rnacentral:rRNA from 1 species
CAGCAGCCGCGGUAAUACGGAGGGUGCGAGCGUUAAUCGGAAUAACUGGGCGUAAAGGGCACGCAGGCGGUGACUUAAGUGAGGUGUGAAAGCCCCGGGCUUAACCUGGGAAUUGCAUUUCAUACUGGGUCGCUAGAGUACUUUAGGGAGGGGUAGAAUUCCACGUGUAGCGGUGAAAUGCGUAGAGAUGUGGAGGAAUACCGAAGGCGAAGGCAGCCCCUUGGGAAUGUACUGACGCUCAUGUGCGAAAGCGUGGGGAGCAAACAGGAUUAGAUACCCCAGUAGUCCCUGUCUCUUAUAC